AGUGAACGCUGGCGGUAGGCCUAACACAUGCAAGUCGAACGGCAGCACAGUAAGAGCUUGCUCUUACGGGUGGCGAGUGGCGGACGGGUGAGGAAUACAUCGGAAUCUACUUUUUCGUGGGGGAUAACGUAGGGAAACUUACGCUAAUACCGCAUACGACCUACGGGUGAAAGCAGGGGAUCUUCGGACCUUGCGCGAUUGAAUGAGCCGAUGUCGGAUUAGCUAGUUGGCGGGGUAAAGGCCCACCAGGGCGACGAUCCGUAGCUGGUCUGAGAGGAUGAUCAGCCACACUGGAACUGAGACACGGUCCAGACUCCUACGGGAGGCAGCAGUGGGGAAUAUUGGACAAUGGGCGCAAGCCUGAUCCAGCCAUACCGCGUGGGUGAAGAAGGCAUUCGGGUUGUAAAGCCCUUUUGUUGGGAAAGAAAAGCAGCAGGUUAAUACCCCGCUGUUCUGACGGUACCCAAAGAAUAAGCACCGGCUAACUUCGUG
rnacentral:rRNA from 1 species